GCCAGUACAAUAAAUUCAUGUGGUUCGCCCCUUCCCCCAAACCUCAUGUAUUGUAUAAAGAAAGUUUUAAUGCAUUGGCUGCACUUAAUAAUUGUAAGACCCCAUAAAAUUUUAAGUCUAACUCAACUCCUUAAGGCUUGAUAAGAAAAUCCAAUACUUAGAAGAAUUUUUGCUAAGUGUUCAACACUAGUCACAUUUCAAGCCUCCGAACUUCGGGGAUUUAUUUGGCGACCUUCCCGACCUCCGUUUUUUAAUUUUCAAGUUGCGUUGUGAUGGGGAAAGACCCUAGUAUGUCUUGGUCAUAUUUAGAAUGCAUUUUGGGCGCAUUUCAGUGGCUGAACUCACUGGUUUGAAAUGCUCCCGCAUUCCGGGCGCAUUUCAGGCCAAAAUUUUAGGGUCAACUUCAAACGACCAUAACUCCCUGUAUAUAAUGAACUGCGAGGGCUGCUAUAUAUAAAUGGAAAUAUAUUUGAAUCUUCUUUUCUAUGCAAUUAGUUUCAUCCAAAUCCAACGUCGGAGUAAAAAUUUAUGAUCAAUUUACUUCAGCAUAUCAAAACUGUCAACAGAGGGACAGCUGCGUCUUUCUCCCUUUCCUUAGGGGUAUUUUAGUAUUUUUUCCCACCCUACAUAUAUACACAAACACAGUAUUAAGGCUCAUUUGGACCAAAAUAUAUCCCUUUUCAUCAUUUUCUCUCAAGAACAAGAGAAAGGGCUUCAAUUUGAAGACCCAAGUUCAAAGGAUUUCACCGUUAAUCAUCAAGAAUCUUCCAUCUAAGGUUUCGAGACACGAGAUCCAUAGCAGCAGUAGUUGAUCAGUUUCAGCUUUCAGCGUCAAUGGUGAUCCCUCAUCAUCCGAGGACAUAUUAUUCUGUUUCAUCGUUGCAGUACUCGGUUUUAUUUAGUUAUCGGAGUUAGUUGGGGACAUAUCCCAUCAACUCUCUUUUCUGACAGUUAGAGGUUUUUUAGACUAUCAUGUUUUCAGAUAGUAUUUCAGGUUGUUUUGGGUAUUUAUACCCCACCAGAUGUUUGAUAUUCAGUUUGAACAUCAUGGCCUAUCAGCCUUUGUUCCGCAUUAUAUAUAUUAUGCAGUGUACAGGUACAGAUAUCAGUCAUAGGUUAGCUUGUGGUCCCUCGGGGUCAUGAGCUCCGUGUAGCAUUUCGGUUCAGAAAAUCGAGGUGUUACAAUAAUACAUUACUUUUCCUCAUA